UAGCAGACCAUAAUUAUUCUACAAAGUAGAGAAAUAGAACAAAAAUAUGAGGAAGAGCAUAGAGUAGAUAGAUAGAGGGAAAUGAGGGAUAAAGGUGAAAACUCUAAAGGGCAAAUAGAAGAAUAUUUGACAGGCAUGAAGAAUAAAAGAAUAUUUGACAGGCAUGAAGAAUAAGGGAGACAAAAACAUAAUAGAUAGAACACGAAUUAAAUUUACUUAAAAGUUAUCAAUUCCAAGUUUCCAUAAAUUUUGUGGAUUAGAACUCUUUAUAUAGGUUCUAAUCUUAACAGAAAAGGAAAACAAUUAAUAGGAAAAUAAACCCGAAGUUUCUGAAUUUGUUAAAUAACUCCAAUCUCUGACAAGGUCUUAUUUCUUAUUAGGAAAGUAAAAGCUUCUGUGUUAACUAGACUCGGUCCAGAUGGCAUAGUUUACAAACACAAGGCUAGACUUGUUCGAAGAGCUACGCUCUUGUAGCCCUAUAGCCAGACAUGAAAAAAUCAAGCUACAAAUUUCACUUCCUGCUUAGAUGGGUUGGUAAUCUACAACAUGGAUGUGGAACUUUAGAUAACAGUUGGAAUACCAUUCUCACUAAAUUACUUCAGUUAAAUAUGGAAAUUUCAUGGUAAGGAUUGCAACUGCCAGAUCUAAUGCUCUGCGGGUUUCUAAUGCUAUGUAACUUUAUGUUCAAGUUGUCACUUAAUUUGAAAUGCCCUUUAUAAAGUUCACAUGUUCUGAUCAGUCUAUAAGUUCAACGACUCACCUCGGUCUUAAAUAUUUUUGUUUAACGUGGUAUGAACAUCUUAGGAAUCUUUGUGAUCUCUUUUGUUGCAGAGGCUUCUUUCUCGGCAUUUUGAGCUUGAUUGGCAUCUUCUUGAAUAUGUAAAUGGCAAGUAGUUAAUUUUAAACAGACAUCUUACGAUGGGAAUCAACCUCACCAAAUUACAACUUGGUUAUUGAGGUAACUACGAAGUGAAAAUGAUGCUUCAGAGAAAGUUUCUGAUGACUUUAUGCAGUCCCUUUUUUGAAAAAAAGGAAAAAGAAAGAAAAACUGAUUGAUGCAUGUUGUUAUAGGAUCUGUGAUCAAACCUGAAUGCCUGAGUAAUUAUACAUUAUCAACCCAAAAAGCAUAUUUUUGUGUGUCAAAUGAGAAGUCAGUGUAAAAGCUAGUCUUACGUAUUAUUUAAUUGAGAAUAUGAAUCAACUAUGAUCAGGUAGCAAAAUUGUCUAUGGAAUGAAAUGGAUGUAAGAUUUUUGCGAGGUUA